UACGUAGGUGGCGAGCGUUGUCCGGAUUUAUUGGGCGUAAAGCGCGUGUAGGCGGACCAUCAAGCCUGAGGUGAAAGGUUGGGGCUCAACCCCAUACAGUGCCUUGGGGACUGUUGGUCUGGAGGCAGGCAGAGGUAUGUGGAAUUCCUGGUGUAGCGGUGGAAUGCGUAGAGAUCAGGAAGAACACCCAUGGCGAAGGCAGCAUACUGGGCCUGUACUGACGCUGAGACGCGAAAGCGUGGGGAGCAAACGGG
rnacentral:rRNA from 1 species